rnacentral:rRNA from 1 species
AGCGAACGCUGGCGGCAGGCCUAACACAUGCAAGUCGAACGAAGUCUUCGGACUUAGUGGCGGACGGGUGAGUAACACGUGGGAACGUACCUUUUGGUUCGGAACAACUCAGGGAAACUUGAGCUAAUACCGGAUGAGCCCUUAGGGGGAAAGAUUUAUCGCCGAAAGAGCGGCCCGCGUUAGAUUAGCUAGUUGGUGAGGUAAAGGCUCACCAAGGCUACGAUCUAUAGCUGGUCUGAGAGGAUGAUCAGCCACACUGGGACUGAGACACGGCCCAGACUCCUACGAGAGGCAGCAGUACGGAAUCUUGCGCAAUGGGCGAAAGCCUGACGCAGCCAUGCCGCGUGAAUGAUGAAGGUCUUAGGAUUGUAAAAUUCUUUUACCAGUGACGAUAAUGACGGUACCUAGAGAAUAAGCUCCGGCUAACUCCGUGCCAGCCGCCGCAGUAACAC